rnacentral:rRNA from 1 species
AGCGAACGCUGGCGGCAGGCCUAACACAUGCAAGUCGAGCGCCCAGCAAUGGGAGCGGCAGACGGGAUAGUAACACGUGGGAACGUACCCUUCAGUUCGGAACAACCCAGGGAAACUUGGGCUAAUACCGAAUACGUCCGUAAGGAGAAAGAUUUAUCGCUGAAGGAUCGGCCCGCGUCUGAUUAGCUAGUUGGUGAGGUAACGGCUCACCAAGGCGACGAUCAGUAGCUGGUCUGAGAGGAUGAUCAGCAUCACUGGGACUGAGACACGGCCCAGACUCCUACGGGAGGCAGCAGUGGGGAAUAUUGGACAAUGGGCGCAAGCCUGAUCCAGCCAUGCCGCGUGGAUGAUGAAGGCCCUAGGGUUGUAAAGUCCUUUCGGCGGG